GUCUACAGCCAUGCUACCCUGAACAAGCCCAAUCCCGUCUGAUCUCGGAAGCUAAGCAGGGUCAAGCUCGGUUAGUACCUGGGUGGGAGACCACUUAGGAAGACCAGGUGCUGUAGGCA
rnacentral:rRNA from 1 species